GUCUGGGUGCCAGUUUAUAGCCAGAUCUCUCUCCAAAAGCAACUAUUGCAUACUCACACUGCCUAUUUGCAACCAAAUGAGUGUGAGGAACCAGCAGCUGGCAGCACACCAGAUUGUUUGUGGACUUCUCCAGGGCCAGUCCCCAGUACCUGUGUCUCUCCAGGGCCGUAGCUGGUCCAGGCAGGUCAUUUCCUGCAGGACUACGCACACCACUCUGCAGUGCCUGAGUUUUUCCAGGUGCCAUCAGCGGUGUUGGAGUCACUGGUCUCUCUUUGCUGUCACUCCAUGGGCCAGAAUACCUCCUUUCAGUAGCUACAGAUUUACACCAGAUUGAUGCAGACAGAGCUGUCCAAGCCCUGCUCAAAAGAAAGUGGAAUAGUUUUGUUUUCUCAAUUUUCUACUGAAAAGAGGCUUUUAUCAGAACAAGAGCUCGCCUGGAGAAUUUUCCAGCUCUGUUUCCCUGCCUCUUUAUCAGUCCAUUAACACAAACAGCACUGUGACCUUUUUAACCAACAUACGUGGCCUCCAGUAAUGUUGGGCUGGAAGCACUCCACAGGUCAGACGACAUCCUGCCAUCAGUCAUCGGCCUCACGUGGUUUGGUGGACUUCAAGUGGAUUUGCCAGAUGCAGUCAUGCAUCCAUUCUGUUCUUCCGUGCAUGUCCUAGGAGAAGCUCUCUGACUAACAGAUGUUUUAAAAUGCUCUUUCACAUGGGAAAAUUGGGAAUUACAUGUUUUUGUUGCACCCUUGCUAUUUCAUCCAGCCACGUGGCUCUCCAGGGAUGGAGACGUACUUAAGAAAAAUAUUCACUUCUAA
rnacentral:lncRNA from 12 species